UCCUUCCGGGAAAGGCUGAUUGUGCUGUCACGAAUCGUGUGUGUUGAGGAGCGGCUCUGGAGACUUAAAGAGCCCGACGCUCAAGUGAUAUUGCCAACUACCAUUCCAAUAAACUUAUUUUAUUUUGUUGUGGUACAGGCUCAGAGCCCAAUGCAACCCCUGGGAGAUGUCUCCAGCACCAGAGUGACACUCAGCCUGAAGCCUGGGAGCUUGAGGGCUGGAAGUACAAGAACAAGAAAUACCUUUGAAAACACUUCAGUGCUCAGACUGCUCACUGGUGUUUCUGCCUUGUGAGCUGGGGCAUGAGGCUUUGGGUCACUACUUUUCAUUCCCUCUAAGAUGGACAAGAUGCUUGUUUUAUGCACAGUACGUGGAGCACAGGGCCUCAGGCAUGGCACUUGUGUGUUCUCUAAGUGGGCUCCACCCAGUUCAGAAGCUAAGGAAUGGAACAGUGCCUUGAACACGCUAUGUAAGCCUCCUAACGGCCAAGCUGAUCCUCCAGCUCUACAGACAUCCUUUCACUGAGCAGUUAUUUCUUCUCUGAUGUUCUCAUCGCUGCAGAUGGCCUCCAAAUACUUUUGAGCCCUUGCUGAAAAAGCUGGAGAUAGAGGCAAACAUGAAAAGGGGAUGCAGGAUGGAAGAGGCAAAGGGAGAGAAGCAGGCGAGCAACUCCACAAUGAUACUCAUUCCUUUAUUGUCAACUGUGUUCAUCUCAACAGGGCUGGGGCCUGCAGGCUGCUGCAGCACCAAGCUAGGGUGCAUUUCCACUUAACAGAAAGGCCUCCAUCCUCAACCAAGGGGACAGAGGUGAAUGCUUUAUAUAUAUUUAUAUAUUUAUAUAUUACAUAUGUCCCAGAUAGUCAUUGUAUAGAGUGACAAGAAUGGGCCACUGUGUGUAACUUGAAUUAAAGGCCAUAGCAACAGACAUAGAAAUUUGAUCCUAAUUAAGGCCCUUACUUUGUCAAUCAAAUGUCUGAUACAGUAAAAGAAAAAGGAGAGAGACAGAAACUGAGAUCCAGCCACUCCCAGUAGCUCUGUCCCCAGGGUAUCUUACAUUGAGUGUAGUGCCCCCUGUACAGAUAAACAUAAAUACACACAUAAACACACGUACAAUACCAUAGGCAGGAGCACCUCCUCUGACCACACCUUGGGCCCAGCCUUUGGCUGUGGUGCUGAAGUGGGGUAUAUUGUGCUAUAAGACUGUGAGAGAGUGAGCCAGACAAUGUGGAGUCAGUGUGUCCACGUGAUGAAUGGGGUGACUCAUGCAGUUUCAUCUACAAGUGACAAAGAGGUCAGGGGGAGGUUCCUCAAUGCCCAGGUCACAUUGGGAGAUUCUACACACAGCUCCUGUCCCAGAGAAAGCCAUACUCUGAUUUAAAUCCUGAGUGUCAAAUAACCAUAGGGCUCUGAUGGAAAACUAGGAUUCCUUUGAAGGACAGACAACCGGAAGGCUCAACCAUUCAGUCCAGUAGAACAGUAGAAAGCACAGCAGUGGAGUCAGAGCAAGUGGUCCUCAGACAGGACCUUGAAUGGUGCAGAACGGGCUGAUUUCCACAAGAAUGAGAGCGGCCUGCUGCCCUCUGCCACACAAGCUCCUGGCAGAUCUGUCAGCUUCAUGCCUUACAUAGGAACAGACCUGCUCAUAAGCCAGGGAAGGGGACUCCAACAGUAGGGCACUUGCAAUCCUAACUUCCUGUUUUCUCUCACUAAAUUUACCCACCACCAGCCACCAAAAUAUACAUCUUGAAAAUAAGUCAGCAUAUUUGGCAGUAUGAUUUUUAGUAUUAAGAGAAUUUCUUAAUUUUUCAACUUAGUUUUAUACUUAAUAAAUGAUAAGUAAUCUGUUGUUAAAUGUUGAAAGCAGACAUGACAAUUUCUUAUACAACAGACUGUGUGCUCACCAGUGGCUUCCGAGCAGCCGUAGGGCAUGGACCGGAUUAGACCGGGCUAAGCACGGUGACACACACCUGUAACCCCUGCACUCUGGAGGCAGAGGCAGGAAAACAGCUGCAAGACUCUGGUCUACACCUGUGUGUUCCAAGCCAGCCGGGGCUACACAGACCCUGUCUCAGAGUAAAACAAAGCAAUGCAAAGCAGCAGAAAGAGACAAUUAUGAAUGUUUUUCUUAGAAGCAUAUCAAAAACACAAUUAGGGAAGGAAUCCAAGUUAGUUGUAGAACAGCUAGAACUGGAUGGUUUUCAUUUAAACUUUUUAAUUUAUUAUUUAUUUUCUCUUUUUUUGCUAUGGAGCCCAGGAGGACCUUGAACUCCCUGUCUGUCUACCUCCAUCUCCCAGUGCUGGGAUUAAAGGUGUGCAUGCACCACCAAACUCAGUUUAAACCCAACUGUAAGAAAUUUACUUCGUCUUUAGUUAUGUGUGUGUGUAUCUGUAGGUGGGUAUGUUCAUGUGUGUUCAGGUCACUGCAGAGGCCAUAAGGGAGUCCAGAUCCCCUGGAGCUGCCUGAUGUGGAUGCUGGAAACCCA